rnacentral:rRNA from 1 species
GAUGGGCGUCGACCGGCGCACGGGUGAGUAACGCGUAUCCAACCUGCCCACCACUUGGGGAUAACCUUGCGAAAGUAAGACUAAUACCCAAUGACGUCUCUAGAAGACAUCUGAAGGAGAUUAAAGAUUUAUCGGUGAUGGAUGGGGAUGCGUCUGAUUAGCUUGUUGGCGGGGUAACGGCCCACCAAGGCGACGAUCAGUAGGGGUUCUGAGAGGAAGGUCCCCCACAUUGGAACUGAGACACGGUCCAAACUCCUACGGGAGGCAGCAGUGAGGAAUAUUGGUCAAUGGACGAGAGUCUGAACCAGCCAAGUAGCGUGCAGGAUGACGGCCCUAUGGGUUGUAAACUGCUUUUAUAAGGGAAUAAAGUGAGUCUCGUGAGACUUUUUGCAUGUACCUUAUGAAUAAGGACCGGCUAAUUCCGUGCCAGCAGCCGCGGUAAUACGGAAGGUCCGGGCGUUAUCCGGAUUUAUUGGGUUUAAAGGGAGCGUAGGCCGGAGAUUAAGCGUGUUGUGAAAUGUAGACGCUCAACGUCUGCACUGCAGCGCGAACUGGUUUCCUUGAGUACGCACAAAGUGGGCGGAAUUCGUGGUGUAGCGGUGAAAUGCUUAGAUAUCACGAAGAACUCCGAUUGCGAAGGCAGCUCACUGGAGCGCAACUGACGCUGAAGCUCGAAAGUGCGGGUAUCGAACAGGAUUAGAUACCCUGGUAGUCCGCACGGUAAACGAUGGAUGCCCGCUGUUGGUCUGAAUAGGUCAGCGGCCAAGCGAAAGCAUUAAGCAUCCCACCUGGGGAG